rnacentral:misc_RNA from 1 species
CGAGUUAGGGUCUUCUCAGGCCCGACCUCCCAACCCUUUGUUUACCCGACCCAUGUUGCUUCGGCGGGCCCGCCGUUUCGACGGCCGCCGGAGGACCGCCUAUUCAGGUCCUCUGGCCCGCGCCCGCCGGUAGCCAAUUCUACCAAACUCUUGAAUCAAAUCGUGUCCAAUGUCUGAGUAUAUUACAAAAUAAAAGCAAAACUUUCAACAACGGAUCUCUUGGUUCUGGCAUCGA